rnacentral:misc_RNA from 1 species
GUGAAUCAUCAAAUCUUUGAACGCAAAUUGCACUCUCCUCGGAGAGUAUGCCUGUUUGAGGGUCAGCCUAUAAAAAAUCGACAUCGUUGCUGUUUCGCGGUGGCGUUCGUCGGAAAUUGGGUCAUCUUAAAUCCCUUUGAUUUAAGCGACUUAAAAUUUUCUUUUGGUUCCAUGAACGUUUCUAAGAUCUAUUUCUUCACGUUUUUGGUAUCGCUUUUUACUCUACAUGACAAUCAUAUC